CCCUUAGAUGUUCUGGGCAGCACGCGCGCUACAAUGGUCUUCGCAAACGGAUGCAUUCUCGAAGGAGGAUGCCAAUCUUGGAAUCUAUGCCUUGGUCGGGACAGUUGCUUGCAAUUUUUCGACUCGAACCAGGAAUUCCUUGUAAUCGUGAUUCAUCACAUCACGAUGAAUACGUCCCUGCCCUUUGUACACACCGCCCGUCGCUCCUACCGAUCGAAGAGUUAGGUGAAUUGUUUUGAUCGAUAAGAUUUGACUAUGGUCAACUCUCGUUGGGAAAUUCUGUGAAUCUGACUGUUUAGAGGAAGGAAAAGUCGUAACA
rnacentral:rRNA from 1 species